rnacentral:rRNA from 1 species
AACGAACGCUGGCGGCAUGCCUAACACAUGCAAGUCGAACGAGACCUUCGGGUCUAGUGGCGCACGGGUGCGUAACGCGUGGGAAUCUGCCCUGGGGUGCGGAAUAACUCGGAGAAAUCCGUGCUAAUACCGCAUAAUGUCUUCGGACCAAAGAUUUAUUGCCCUGGGAUGAGCCCGCGUAGGAUUAGCUAGUUGGUGAGGUAAAGGCUCACCAAGGCGACGAUCCUUAGCUGGUCUGAGAGGAUGAUCAGCCACACUGGGACUGAGACACGGCCCAGACUCCUACGGGAGGCAGCAGUGGGGAAUAUUGGACAAUGGGCGAAAGCCUGAUCCAGCAAUGCCGCGUGAGUGAUGAAGGCCUUAGGGUUGUAAAGCUCUUUUACCAGGGAUGAUAAUGACAGUACCUGGAGAAUAAGCUCCGGCUAACUCCGUGCCAGCAGCCGCGGUAAUGUCAGUG